rnacentral:rRNA from 1 species
GAUGAACGCUGGCGGCGUGCCUAAUACAUGCAAGUCGAGCGAACGGACGAGAAGCUUGCUUCUCUGAUGUUAGCGGCGGACGGGUGAGUAACACGUGGAUAACCUACCUAUAAGACUGGGAUAACUUCGGGAAACCGGAGCUAAUACCGGAUAAUAUUUUGAACCGCAUGGUUCAAAAGUGAAAGACGGCCUUGCUGUCACUUAUAGAUGGAUCCGCGCUGCAUUAGCUAGUUGGUAAGGUAACGGCUUACCAAGGCAACGAUGCAUAGCCGACCUGAGAGGGUGAUCGGCCACACUGGAACUGAGACACGGUCCAGACUCCUACGGGAGGCAGCAGUAGGGAAUCUUCCGCAAUGGGCGAAAGCCUGACGGAGCAACGCCGCGUGAGUGAUGAAGGUCUUCGGAUCGUAAAACUCUGUUAUUAGGGAAGAACAUAUGUGUAAGUAACUGUGCACAUCUUGACGGUACCUAAUCAGAAAGCCACGGCUAACUACGUGCCAGCAGCCGCGGUAAUACGUAGGUGGCAAGCGUUAUCCGGAAUUAUUGGGCGUAAAGCGCGCGUAGGCGGUUUUUUAAGUCUGACGUGAAAGCCCACGGCUCAACCGUGGAGGGUCAUUGGAAACUGGAAAACUUGAGUGCAGAAGAGGAAAGUGGAAUUCCAUGUGUAGCGGUGAAAUGCGCAGAGAUAUGGAGGAACACCAGUGGCGAAGGCGACUUUCUGGUCUGUAACUGACGCUGAUGUGCGAAAGCGUGGGGAUCAAACAGGAUUAGAUACCCUGGUAGUCCACGCCGUAAACGAUGAGUGCUAAGUGUUAGGGGGUUUCCGCCCCUUAGUGCUGCAGCUAACGCAUUAAGCACUCCGCCUGGGGAGUACGACCGCAAGGUUGAAACUCAAAGGAAUUGACGGGGACCCGCACAAGCGGUGGAGCAUGUGGUUUAAUUCGAAGCAACGCGAAGAACCUUACCAAAUCUUGACAUCCUUUGACAACUCUAGAGAUAGAGCUUUCCCCUUCGGGGGACAAAGUGACAGGUGGUGCAUGGUUGUCGUCAGCUCGUGUCGUGAGAUGUUGGGUUAAGUCCCGCAACGAGCGCAACCCUUAAGCUUAGUUGCCAUCAUUAAGUUGGGCACUCUAAGUUGACUGCCGGUGACAAACCGGAGGAAGGUGGGGAUGACGUCAAAUCAUCAUGCCCCUUAUGAUUUGGGCUACACACGUGCUACAAUGGACAAUACAAAGGGCAGCGAAACCGUGAGGUCAAGCAAAUCCCAUAAAGUUGUUCUCAGUUCGGAUUGUAGUCUGCAACUCGACUACAUGAAGCUGGAAUCGCUAGUAAUCGUAGAUCAGCAUGCUACGGUGAAUACGUUCCCGGGUCU